UUACAUUCUCAAGCAUAUUCUAAGCAUUUCUACAUUCUCAAACUAGUAUGUACAAGGCUUUAGAUUAUUCCGCAAUUGGAAGCUAUGUCAAAUAACUUUAUAAAUUAUAACCUUUGGUUUCUCUUCAAAAAAAAUUAUAACCUUUGGUAGUAACCGGCUCGAAUCAAACUUAUACGUAUAUCCGUAGUUGAGUGGUUGAACACUUGAACCAGCGUUCACCAUCAAUCUCAACACAGUUCUAGUCAAGUAACUCGCAAAGACCAAACACAUACUAUAUCCCAGGUGGAUCCAAGAACAUCUUAGAUUCCAAGGUCUACUUUGGAUCCUCGCUACAAGUUUUAUCAGGAAUAUCAGCCAACACUCUCUCGGAAUGCCCAUUUGGAUAUUUCUGAGCCUCUAGCAUCAGACCCCCAGGAAUUCGAAUCUAUCAAUCAAGCCGAGAAACCAGUUGUGUCUGUAAUUCCAGGUUAUACUAAGCCCUCGGUUACACGUUCGUUGUCAAAUGCUUCCAAGCAUUCAGGUGCUGAAUCCCCUGGGCAAGCAAGUACUAGCAGUUUGUUGGCUGCUGUCGUGAGAAGUGGUAUAUUGAGUUCUGAUACUCUGGUUGGCAGCUUACCUGGAUUGAAUUCUCAAGAUAGUGUUAGUCCUCCCUUACCAAGUUGUUCUUCUCCUGCCCAACCUGUAGAUAUUUCACCAUCGCCAUCUCCAAAUGUGACAAAUUCUUGUUCUAAUCCAGUGUUGAGUCUUCUAAGUACCUUGGUAGCAAAGGGAUUGAUAAUUGCAUCAAAGACCGUCCCGGACUGUUGUUGAAUCUAAAAUAGCCCCAACUGUAAGCAAAAAUUAGUGUGGUUUGUUCGGAGUCUAAAAUAGCUCCUCAAAUUCCAAUUCGAAGCCCUCCAACUGUAAGCAAAAAUUAGUGUGGUUUGUUCGGUGCCAGCCUCAGAAAAGGACACAUGAUGCUCCAAUGUAGAACUCAGGAAACCAAAAAUUUCAGGAAAAGGACACAUGAUGCUCCAAUGUAGAACUCAGGAAACCAAAAAUUUCAGGUUUUAUCAAUUUUUGUUUGUUGGAUAUAUAAACUCAAGUUAGACUUGUCCUAGGUUUUAUUGAAAAUGCAAGCAACUGAAGCAAGCAAUCAGGAAAAAACAAGUAUAUGCCAUUGUGAGCCAGCCAUCUUUGCUAAUUUGGCUGGCAUUUCUA